UCCCCCGUGAGGGGGCAGUCUCGCCAGACACUUAUAACUGGCAACGAGGGUUGCGUUCGUUACCCCACUGAAGGGAACGAUUCAAACCACGAACUGACGACAGCCGUGCAUCACCUGUCCUGCACCUUCGAAAGCUUCCCUAGUUUCCUAGGGCGUGCAGCAGGAUGUCUAAUCUUGGUAAGGUUCUUCGUUUAGCGACGAAUUGAGCCACACGCUCCACCACUUGUGCGAGCUCCCGUCUAUUCCUUUGAGUUUUAGCCUUGCGGCCGUACUACCCAGGCGGAUGACUUAACGCGUUAGCUUCGCCACACAGAGGGUCGAUACUCCGUAUAGCCAGUCAUCAUCGUUUAGGGCGUGGACUAC
rnacentral:misc_RNA from 1 species